AUGUAUGAUUUGACGAAGCAACGGUACACUUGUUAAUAAACCAAUUUCUAACUUUUCUUUCGGUUCUAUACCAUAUUCUUGAGGAGAAACAAAAUCAAAUAAUACUUUUGCUAAAUCGUAUAGCUCAUACAACUUUUCCAACGGCCUUUCAGUGUGAUUAGUAUUUGCACCGGUCAUCCCAACAAGAUUGCCAUUGCUAUCGGUUCUUUGGGGAGGCUCUUUGGCAAUCAAGCUUGGACUCUGAGGCAAUUUGAGAUACUGAUAGGGAGUAAAUAUGCGUUCCAAAAAUUGCCGAUUGUGAAGAGCAUCAUACUUCAAUGUAUCGUAUAGUUCAGAAACCUUGGAUGGGUCUGCUUUCUCAGAGUCACAAAAUUCGCUAAACAACUUCUCCCACCUUUCCCUAAAGAGCGCAGGAUUUUCAUUACAACACCAACGCGAUUGAACUUGCUCAACCUCAGGUCCCAAAAUAAUAAAAUUCUCUCUCAUUACUGCGCGAUGAUAUUUCAUGAGUUGAACAACUUGUUGCAUUACUUCACAAGGCUUGGGCAUGUUUUCUGGCCAAGUAAACUCCUUUCUAGCCGUAUCUCCAACUCUUAAUAAUGAUUUCAAGUGUUUCUUAACCUUAUCCAUAGUA